rnacentral:lncRNA from 1 species
AAAAACCAAAAAAUAAUAGAUAAAAAUAAAUAUUUAAUUUCUUUUAAUAUGUGUGAACAACCUUAAACAUUAUAUAUUUAUAUCAAGAGGGAGUAUAAACUAAAAUAUUUAAGAAUAAAAAUAAAAAAAUCUAGUAAUGAUUGAUAUCCUAGAUAAAAAUAUCAAGUAUAUUAAGAAUCUUUAAAAAAUCGGCUGGUUAAGAAUAUACUUGAAACAAACAAAAAAAUGAAUUCGAACUUUAGAACCAACCAUAAAUAACGAAGGAAAUAAUUAAGUAUUUAUGGUAAACUUACAAUUAGCG